UAGGGAAUCUUCGGCAAUGGACGAAAGUCUGACCGAGCAACGCCGCGUGAGUGAAGAAGGUUCUCGGAUCGUAAAACACUGUUGUUAGAGAAGAACAAGGACGUUAGUAACUGAACGUCCCCUGACGGUAUCUAACCAGAAAGCCACGCCUAACUACGUGCCAGCAGCCGCGGUAAUACGUAGGUGGCAAGCGUUGUCCGGAUGUAUUGGGCGUAAAGCGAGCGCAGGCGGUUUCUUAAGUCUGAUGUGAAAGCCCCCGGCUCAACCGGGGAGGGUCAUUGUAAACUGGGAGACUUGAGUGCAGAAGAGGAGAGUGGAAUUCCAUGUGUAGCGGUGAAAUGCGUAGAUAGAUGGAGGAACACCAGUGGCGAAGGCGGCUCUCUGGUCUGUAACUGACACUAAGUCUCGAAAGCGUGGGGUGCAAACAGG
rnacentral:rRNA from 1 species